UACCCCCUGGGGGACAUCUAAUAAAAUUGGAAUGAUACAGAGAAGAUUAGCAUGGCCUGUCCACAAGGAUGUUCAAUCAAAAAGAGAAUAAAGAAACUCUC